rnacentral:lncRNA from 1 species
AUGAAAGCACCAAUUAAACUCAAGAUGGGAAAAGAGAAUACAGAAAUGGGGGAUGGGAAUGAGAAUGACCAAUGAGAUCUAACAACUUUCCUACCUCAUGAUCACACAAUAAUUAACUUAAAUAACAAGCACAACCAAUUCUGUUAGACUUGUGCUGAUGUGGCAUUCAUGGCAUAAUCUUUGAAUUUCUCGGGCAUCUUCCUAUUUCUCUUUGUUUGGGCUGGAUCCAUAGGCUGAUCAUAAGCACUUUUGGGCUGGUCUGUUGGGCCCAUAACAAAGUGCCCCGUCUUAGCUAGCUAGCGAUGAAGUUUUUGUUUAUCUAUCCGGCAAUAAAGUGUAAAUUAAAAAUUCAAUCCUGAUAAAUGGGAAAUCCAGUCAUUGUGAUUCCGCACAACAAGUGUAACUUAAAAAGAAUAUAACGUUUCAUGACCGUCGUCAAGUAUUUCAGUCGCUUCAAUUUAGAUUUAUCUAUAUGCAUCUUGAUUUCCUUAUUUAGGUGACCAACACUUACUUCAAAAGAGAAUUUCUAAGGUUGAGUUUGUUUUUUCAGAUGUAA